rnacentral:rRNA from 1 species
UACGGGGGGGGCAAGCGUUGUUCGGAAUUACUGGGCGUAAAGGGCUCGUAGGUGGCCAACUAAGUCAGACGUGAAAUCCCUCGGCUUAACCGGGGAACUGCGUCUGAUACUGGAUGGCUUGAGUUUGGGAGAGGGACGCGGAAUUCCAGGUGUAGCGGUGAAAUGCGUAGAUAUCUGGAGGAACACCGGUGGCGAAGGCGGCGUCCUGGGGUUGUCUUGACGCUGAGGCGCGAAAGCUGGGGGAGCGAACGGG